rnacentral:rRNA from 1 species
UAUUAUAUUUAGUAUAGUUGUUAAUACUUGGGUAGUACUAGGAAAUACUUAAAACCCAAAGAAUUUGGCGGUAUUUUAGUCUUUUCAGAGGAAUCUGUUCUGUAAUUGAUAGUACACGAUUUGUUUUACUUAAUUUUGUUAUCAGUUUAUAUACCGCCGUCAUAAGAUUAUUUUUGUUUAAGAAUUAAAUUUUCUUUGUUUUUUAAUAAAUUAUAUGUCAGGUCAAGGUGUAGCUUAUAAUUAAGUGGAGAUGGAUUACAAUAAUAGUAAUUAUUACGGAUAAUUGAUUUUAGGUUAAUUUGAAGGUGGAUUUGAUUGUAAAUUUAUUUUUAAUUUUUAUAUUGAUUUAARWUCUAAAAUGUGUACAUAUCGCCCGUCGCUCUCGUUAUUAAGRUGAG